rnacentral:rRNA from 1 species
CCUACGGGUGGCAGCAGUGAGGAAUAUUGGUCAAUGGGCGCGAGCCUGAACCAGCCAAGUAGCGUGAAGGAUGACUGCCCUACGGGUUGUAAACUUCUUUUAUCAAGGGAUAAAGUGCGGCACGGGUGCCUUUUUGUAUGUACUUUAUGAAUAAGGAUCGGCUAACUCCGUGCCAGCAGCCGCGGUAAUACGGAGGAUCCGAGCGUUAUCCGGAUUUAUUGGGUUUAAAGGGUGCGGAGAUGGGGUGUUAAGUCAGUUGUGAAAGUUUGCGGCGCAACCGUAAAAUGGCAAUUGAUACUGGCAGUCUUGAGUACAGUGGAGGUAGGCGGAAUGCGUGGUGUAGCGGUGAAAUGCUUAGAUAUCACGAAGAACUCCGAUUGCGAAGGCAGCUUAC